rnacentral:rRNA from 1 species
CACGCUGUAAACUAUGGAUACUAGGCGUUGGAGGAAUUGAUCCCUUCAGUGCCGACGCUAACGCAUUAAGUAUCCCGCCUGGGGAGUACGGCCGCAAGGUUAAAACUCAAAGGAAUAGACGGGGGCCCGCACAAGCGGUGGAGCAUGUGGUUUAAUUCGACGCAACGCGAGAAACCUUACCUGGGUUUGACAUCCGGAGAACCCGCCAGAGAUGGUGGGGUGCCGUAAGGAACUCCGAGACAGGUGC